rnacentral:rRNA from 1 species
CCUACGGGAGGCAGCAGUGGGGAAUAUUGGGCAAUGGGCGCAAGCCUGACCCAGCAACGCCGCGUGAAGGAAGAAGGCUUUCGGGGUGUAAACUUCUUUUCUGAGGGACGAAGAAAGUGACGGUACCUCAGGAAUAAGCCACGGCUAACUACGUGCCAGCAGCCGCGGUAAUACGUAGGUGGCAAGAGUUAUCCGGAUUUAUUGGGUGUAAAGGGCGUGUAGGCGGGAAAGCAAGUCAGAUGUGAAAACUCAGGGCUCAACCCUGAGCUUGCAUUUGAAACUGUUUUUCUUGAGUGCUGGAGAGGCAAUCGGAAUUCCGUGUGUAGCGGUGAAAUGCGUAGAUAUACGGAGGAACACCAGUUGCGAAGGCGGAUUGCUGGACAGUAACUGACGCUGAGGCGCGAAAGCGUGGGUAGCAAACAGGAUUAGAUACCCGAGUAGUC